rnacentral:lncRNA from 1 species
CUAUAACAAACAGAGCACGGUCAGAUUACUUCCCACUCUUUCCUCAGAUAUAAUACGUAAGUAUUAUUACAAAUGAGGAAGAAACUAUUCUAAAACCAUUACAGUAUGAUUAUUUUACCCCAUCUAUAUUGCACCAUGAGCCUCAGACGUCAGGUUCUGGUGGGUGGGUUGACUCACUUUUGUGUUUACGUGUGGUGUCAAACAUUAUCUUCUUUUUUUUUCACUCAGGUGUAUUUUAGUCCUGUGGUCGCACAGUUCCAACUAAACUUCCUGUCCUCUUCCUCGUCAUUCAGUGCGUCAUAAGCGUCGUUGCUGCAGAUAUAAUGCAAACAAAUCCUGUUAAAUCUGCUGUCUCUGUCUGUUCACCUUUACUCUAAAACUCAAAUCAGCUCAUAUUAGUUCUUAAACUGCAAGUACUACCCCUGUGCACAGUGAGACAUGCUAAAAACUAUGUAUAAUAUUAAUAUAGGAUGUGAUUAUUAACAGGAUGUAUGUUUUAGAUAGAGAGGAAGUGUGUGUUGUGGUUUUGGGUGGUGUGUGAGUUCAUCGUCAUGCCAACAACCCAGAUACAGAUCUCAACUGGUACGAUGAAGAUUCCUCGUGUCUGAGGUUCUCAUUUUGACCUGAUGUUCAACUCUGACUGAAGGAGGUGUCAUUAGUCAGUGCCGGAGACUCCCUCCACAUUAUCUGUGGAGCUAAAAACUGACGAGCUGAUUCAACAGAUGUAAAAAAGAUCAAUUAUAGGGAAGUAACACUCAUAACAGGAAGUAAAUGCUGUAUCUGUCUUAAAGAAGCAUUCGUUCAGAGACUUUGACAGUUGAGGGCGUGAGAACAAGAGAUAACGAGAAGCAAGAUGGUUCAAUUCAAAUGGAUUAAAAUGUCUUUAUUUGUGAUACUGGUGCUUCUGUUUACAGCAGUAACUGGACAAAACUCCUCCUUCACUGUCAGAGUUGGAGAUGAAGUCACUUUGCCUUGUGAAAAUGUGAUUAAAAAUCAGGACAAAUGUGACAGUACCUCUUGGAUUGGCAGUCAGCCAUCUGGGGGAACAGCAAGAGAGCUGGUUACUCUUGGGAAGAUUAGUCAAACUGGGAUUUCCAAAGAUAUAUCAGACAGACUGAGUGUUACAGCGAACUGUUCUCUGGUUAUAAAGAAGGUCACAGACAAGGAUGUUGGUCGUUACAGCUGCAGACAGUUUAUAUCAGAACAACAACAAGGUCCAGACUCUCUGGUUUAUCUGUCUGUUAUUAACAUUGAGAAACAACAGUACAAUGAUACAGUCAUCUUGCUCUGCGCUGUGUUGACAUAUGGACGCUGUGGACACACAGUGAAGUGGCUGUAUGAUGAAAAAGAUAAGAAUGUGUUGGACACAUUAGAUACUGUCUGUUCAUCAAAGGUGACAUUAACAACUCAUCUCAAUCAGAAGUCAAACUAUUAUGAGUUAUUUAAGUGUAACGUGACAGAUAAUAAGAGAGGACAAACGCUGCUGUGUGAUGUCGGUUCCCAGUCCUCAUGUGAGAGAACAGGAAGCAAAGGGAAUAAUAAGACUGCAGAGGAUGACACUUCAACACAAGACUGGUGGCGGUUCAUCAUUGUGGCUGUGGGUUUAGCCACACUUUUAAUAAUCUGUGUGGCUGUCAUCAGAUGGAAGAAAACCAAAGGUGACAGAACACAGAUGGAUGAAAACAAAGGACUGAGCUUAAACCCUGCAGCGACUCCAGAAACCAGCCAGCAAAUGCUGGAUCCUGAAGAUGGUGUUUCUUACGCCUCCAUCAGCUAUAGGACGACCAACAGUAAAGCCCGGGUUUGCGAUAAAGGUGAUGAUGAAGCAGUGACCUACGCCACCGUGAAAGAUGCUUCCUCCCCUUCUACUGAAGCCUCUGCUGAAGCCUCUGCUGAUCCCAGCAACCUCUACGCCACCGUCAACAAACCAAACAAAUAAGAGACCACAGUAUAGUUACAGCUCAUAUCAUCACACCUAUUUAAGUUUGUUUUUUCACUCAUACUGUGUUGUAUUAUAAGAUUGUACAUGCAGUCAAAAUCCUACAGUGUUUAAAAUAUAUUUAUGUUUUUGAGCAUAACUUGGCUUGGCAGGUUGUUACAAUGAUAAUAUUGUAGUUUUGCAUUUCAGUUUUCACAUGAACAUGUUAAAAAAAAUUUCUGUUACAAUUAUUUUUAUGAUCAUUUUUAGGACUGGGCUUUUCUGUCCAGAAGGGGGUGUAGUAGGUUUACAAGUAGCAAGUAGAAAGUAAGAACCUGACAUUCAUACCACUUAUCUCUUGUAAACUUUAUUGAGCUCUGUGAUGGGUUUUGUCACUUUUAUUUUGUGAAACACUUUUAAAAAUAAACUCAAAACUCAACUUUUGCAUCAGUUUUCUGCCCUAAAUACUAAACUACAGUCAUCCAACUUAUACUGCAUUUUUGUAUGUGUGUUGUCUCCCUUCUGUAUCUUUUGUUGCUAUCAUUGUUGUAUUUUGUAUGCAUUUUAGUUUAUUUAAAUAUUUUUGGUCUCGUCCCAUAAAAAACUUUAUAUACAUAUGUUCAUAGUUUUUUAUAUUUACUUUGUAUAUACUUUGUCUGUAUCAUGUAAUGGUAAGGUGUUUAAUUUGAACUAAAAAUAAAGAUGAGAUGAAGUGGCU